UGCCGCAGUCAUAUCACACUGCAGCCCAAGACUGGUUACUCACUGAAGCUAAGCACGGCUGAGCCUGGUCAGUACCUUGAUGGUAACCACAUGGGAAAACUACAGUAGGUUACUGUUGGAA
rnacentral:rRNA from 1 species